UUGGAGGGCAAGUCUGGUGCCAGCAGCCGCGGUAAUUCCAGCUCCAAUAGCGUAUAUUAAAGUUGUUGCAGUUAAAAAGCUCGUAGUUGAAUUUCGGGAUCAAUUUAUUGGUCGUGCUAUUGUACGUACUGGUAUUAUUGAUUCCUACCUUCUGACGAACCACGAUGUCAUUAAUUUGGUGUCAUGGGGAAUCAGGACUGUUACUUUGAAAAAAUUAGAGUGUUUAAAGCAGGCUCACGCUUGAAUACAUUAGCAUGGAAUAACGAAAUAGGACGUUUGAUUCUAUUUUGUUGGUUUCUAGGAUCGACGUAAUGAUUAAUAGGGAUAGUUGGGGGCAUUAGUAUUCAAUUGUCAGAGGUGAAAUUCUUGGAUUUAUUGAAGACUAACUACUGCGAAAGCAUUUGCCAAGGAUGUUUUCAUUAAUCAAGAACGAAAGUUAGGGGAUCGAAGACGAUCAGAUACCGUCGUAGUCUUAACCAUAAACAAUGCCAACUAGGGAUCGGAUGAUGUUAAUUUUUUAAUGACUCAUUCGGCGCCUUACGGGAAAC
rnacentral:rRNA from 1 species